UACGGGGGGGGGCAAGCGUUGUUCGGAAUUACUGGGCGUAAAGGGCCAGUAGGCGGCCAACUAAGUCGGAUGUGAAAUCCCCAGGCUUAACCUGGGAACUGCAUCCGAUACUGGAUGGCUUGAAUUCGGGAGAGGGAUGCAGAAUUCCAGGUGUAGCGGUGAAAUGCGUAGAUAUCUGGAGGAAUACCGGUGGCGAAGGCGGCAUCCUGGACCGACAUUGACGCUGAACGGCGAAAGCUAGGGGAGCGAAACAGGGAGUU
rnacentral:rRNA from 1 species